CAGUAGCCGCGGUAAUACAGAGGAUGCAAGCGUUAUCCGGAAAGAUUGGGCGUAAAGCGUGCGCAGGCGGCUUUGUAAGACAGGCGUGAAAUCCCCGGGCUCAACCUGGGAAUGGCGCUUGUGACUGCAAAGCUAGAGUGCGGCAGAGGGGGAUGGAAUUCUGCGUGUAGCAGUGAAAUGCGUAGAUAUGCGGAGGAACACCGAUGGCGAAGGCAAUCCCCUGGGCCUGCACUGACGCUCAUGCACGAAAGCGUGGGGAGCAAACAGGAUUAGAUACCCCUGUAGUCCCUGUCUCUUAUAC
rnacentral:rRNA from 1 species